CAAUGGGCAAUGACUGAUGCCAAGGACACAGAAGACUUCGCUCUCAGUCACCAAAGUCUUUCCAUCACAAGCCAAAGUGGGAUCUACGCAUAGAGAUCUCUUUGGUAGCUGCCUAGUCACCUAUAAAUCCACCACUCCUUCUCAUCCCCUCUACAAUCCAUCCCCAUUUUUCCGUUUCACUCUAUCUCUCUUAGCUGAAAACCAUGGGUGGUGGAGGAGACUUCACUGUAAUUAUGACCAGGAAAGAGGUUAUGGAAGCCCCUAUGUAACCUUGAUUUGAUUUUUCCUCCUGUAGAUGUGAGUGUGUUUUUCUGUUACAAAAAACCCCAUCAGAGUGUUAACGGAGGUGAUGACUUACCUUUGAGUCCAUGGUUGGGGUUAUGAAGAAAGCCAUGGUCUAAGCACUGGUCCCCUACCAUGGUUUUGCAGGGGAAGUUGUGCGUAACUCAGUGGGUGAGCCUGAACUUCUAUGCAAUAACCCAGGGGUAGAUUUCAUGGAGGCUUAUGCAAAUGCAAAACUACAAGACCUCAGCUUGUAUAACCCUAACAACAGCAUUGAAGGCAAGCUUGUCCCUAAGAAGCAGUGUGGUGCCCUCUGUGUGCAGGUGAUUGAGCUCAAAUGUGGUGGAGUCGUGGUGGGCUAUACAUUCCAUCAUCAGAUAGCGGACGCAUAUUCUGCUAGUAUGUUCCUAGUUAAUUUCAUGGGCUGAGAUGACCCAGUGCAAGCCAUUAUCUGUGGUUCCAUCUUUCCGGCGCUCUCUCCUCAACAUCAGACGUCCGGGCUCCUAUGAUCCCCCCUUGAUGACAUGUACGUCCCUAUAUCAGCCUUUUUUGUGUGGAGAAAUUGUUCUUGUGCUAGAAAGAUGAAUUUUUGUUGCUAACACAUAAUAAAGUUUAAAGGAUUGUGUAUGAUAA